CGAUGAACACUAGUGUCGGGGAAUCGACCCCCUCGGUGUCGUAGCCAACGCGUUAAGGUUCCGCCUGGGGAGUACGCACGCAAGUGUGAAACUCAAAGGAAUUGACGGGGGCCCGCACAAGCGGUGGAGUAUGUGGUUUAAUUCGAUGCAACGCGAAGAACCUUACCAGGGUUUGACAUCCUGCGAAUCUCUUGGAAACAGGAGAGUGCCUUCGGGAACGCAGUGACAGGUGGUGCAUGGCUGUCGUCAGCUCGUGUCGUGAGAUGUUGGGUUAAGUCCCGCAACGAGCGCAACCCACGUCUUUAGUUGCCAGCAUUUAGUUGGGCACUCUAGAGAGACUGCCGGUGAUAAACCGGAGGAAGGUGUGGAUGACGUCAAGUCAUCAUGCCCCUUACAUCCUGGGCUACACACGUACUACAAUGCUACGGACAAAGGGCUGCAAGUUCGCGAGGACAAGCAAAUCCCAUAAACCGUGGCUCAGUUCAGAUCGUAGGCUGCAACUCGCCUACGUGAAGGCGGAAUCGCUAGUAAUCGCAGGUCAGCAUACUGCGGUGAAUACGUUCCCGGGCCUUGUACACACCGCCCGUCACACCAUGGAAGUUGGCCACGCCCGAAGCCGUUACUCCAACCCUUGUGGAGGAGGACGUCGAAGGUGGGGCUGAUGACUGGGGUGAAGUCGUAACAAGGUAACC
rnacentral:rRNA from 1 species